rfam:Schistosoma curassoni strain Dakar, Senegal genome assembly, scaffold: SCTD_scaffold0009895
AUCCAGCUGACAAGUCGCAAAUGGGACAAAACGUGCGUCCUGGAU